AGUAUAAGUGUUGUCUAAACACUCUUAAUCCAUCUCUAACUUUUAUAAUUAGUCAAAGGAUUUGCAUUGUGACUUAUUUUGACCAUCGAAACACUAACAAACCUAUUUACUGCUUCUAAACAAUUUUUUGUUGGUUUUAGCCUCUUUUGGGAGAAAAUGGGUAUAAGUGUUUUCUAAACAGUCCUAAUCCAUCUCUAACUCUUAUAAUUAGUCAAAUGCAUUAGAUUGUGACACAUUUUGACCAUACAAACACUA
rnacentral:sRNA from 1 species